rnacentral:tRNA from 1 species
AAGGGUAUAGCUCAGUGGUAGACUGCGUGCUUGGCUAACAUAAGGUCCUGGGUUCAAUCCCCAGUGCCUCUG